GCCCAUCCACAGAUCCACUGAUACACAAAUCCACAAUCCGCAAGUCCAAAAUCCAAAUCCCUAGUUCCCCCUACCCAUUUGUUUUCCCUGCAACGAUGACGAGGAAGACGGCGGCGUCAAUAAGGUGAUGAGGAAGACCGGCGAUGGCGAAGAAGGUGAUGAAGACGGGACCAGCGAUGGCGAAGAAGGUGAUGAAGACGGCUUUUUAGUGAAGAUCGAAGAUGAGGAAGAUGGUGACGGCGAUGAAGAUGAGGAAGACGACAACAACGAUGGCGAUGAAGAUAACAGGGAUGGUGAAGAAGACGACGAUGGACAAGAAUACGACUUGCAGGGAUAAUGGCAGCCUAAAGGAGGCAUCAAGCCCCCUUAUAUAAUGCAAAGAACCACCCAGAUGCUUUGCCUUCAAUCUUGACGAUACAUGUGUUUCACACUGCUUUGGUGCCAGCGCUCUUCACAUAGAUAAAUAAAGUAUCUUGCCUUUUGGUAUAUGAGAUGGAUAUUGGGUAUGAGUUGUGACUCAUUGGGCUCGUGUUAUUGGGUCGGGGUGCGGGAGUACAAGUAGAAACCCGAGGGGGGCCGCUGGCCUGGUGACUGGCCGCCGCCCACGCCCGACCGAGGCGCGGCCAGCGCACUCGGGGCAUAGUCUCGUCAUGGCCUGGCGCCCCCUCGCGCCAAUGGUUGCAGGUGCGACGGUGUGCAGGGGGCUGGUGCGGCAUGGGGCGGCAUGUGUGAUGGUGGUGCAGGGUGUGGAGACGUGGACCAUGUGGCAAGAGGUGAUGGAGUAGGGCCGUGGAGCGUACACGUGGACGACUUAGGGAGAGAAGGGACUACUAUAUAUAAGAGGCAUGGCUUCUCAUCAAGACAUCAUCUGAACACUAUAAGCACUAUAGCCUAGUGGUCCUUAGUUCUUACUUUCAACCCAUCUGUCUGGGUUCGAGAUUCCUGCUUUCAGUAUAGCUUAUCGCUUGGGCCUUAGUCCUGGGUCCUUUUUCCUGUUGGGCUCAUCAACCCCAUUAUGUACCUCUAUACUCGGUACCAAUAAAACCAUCAGUGGUGAUCUUGAUGUAUAUUGAUGGAAUUUUUUUUUACAUAAAUAGUGCUCAUAAGGUUAUUAUUA